UACGUAGGGUGCGAGCGUUGUCCGGAAUUAUUGGGCGUAAAGAGCUUGUAGGCGGUUUGUCGCGUCUGCUGUGAAAAUCCGGGGCUCAACCCCGGACUUGCAGUGGGUACGGGCAGACUAGAGUGUGGUAGGGGAGACUGGAAUUCCUGGUGUAGCGGUGAAAUGCGCAGAUAUCAGGAGGAACACCAAAGGCGAAGGCAGUGUCCUGGGGAGUACCUGACGCUCAGGUGCGAAAGCCAGGGGAGCGAACGGG
rnacentral:rRNA from 1 species